GAUAGCCCCACAGAGUGACCACACUCCACAGUCGCUAACAGUACCUCGCGCUUCGACCGCGUCUACCGCACAACGCACAACUUUGUUUUAUAGAGUGCCAGGAAUAAUGUUGGAUUCCACCUAAUUUUUUAGUGUUUUUUUCAUAAUCUGUCAUCGAAAAUUGUCAAUAAGUGAUCGAGGAUGCGGGCUGGAUUGUUGUGCGGCGCUGUUGCGCUGACUCUACUGCUCGUAGCCGACGCCAUUCCAGCACAGG